AACGAACGCUGGCGGCAUGCCUAACACAUGCAAGUCGAACGAAGGCUUCGGCCUUAGUGGCGCACGGGUGCGUAACGCGUGGGAAUCUGCCCUUUGGUUCGGAAUAACAGCUGGAAACGGCUGCUAAUACCGGAUGAUGACGAAAGUCCAAAGAUUUAUCGCCAGAGGAUGAGCCCGCGUUGGAUUAGGUAGUUGGUGGGGUAAAGGCCUACCAAGCCGACGAUCCAUAGCUGGUCUGAGAGGAUGAUCAGCCACACUGAGACUGAGACACGGCCCAGACUCCUACGGGAGGCAGCAGUGGGGAAUAUUGGACAAUGGGCGCAAGCCUGAUCCAGCAAUGCCGCGUGAGUGAUGAAGGCCCUAGGGUUGUAAAGCUCUUUUACCCGGGAAGAUAAUGACUGUACCGGGAGAAUAAGCCCCGGCUAACUCCGUG
rnacentral:rRNA from 1 species